GAGGCAAUAGCUUACCAAGGCGAUGAUCAGUAGCUGGUCCGAGAGGAUGAUCAGCCACACUGGGACUGAGACACGGCCCAGACUCCUACGGGAGGCAGCAGUGGGGAAUUUUCCGCAAUGGGCGAAAGCCUGACGGAGCAAUGCAGCGUGGAGGUGGAAGGCCUACGGGUCGUCAACUUCUUUUCUCGGAGAAGAAACAAUGACGGUAUCUGAGGAAUAAGCAUCGGCUAACUCUGUGCCAGCAGCCGCGGUAAGACAGAGGAUGCAAGCGUUAUCCGGAAUGAUUGGGCGUAAAGC
rnacentral:ncRNA from 1 species